rnacentral:rRNA from 1 species
GAUGAACGCUGGCGGCGUGCCUAAUACAUGCAAGUCGAGCGAACGGACGAGAAGCUUGCUUCUCUGCUGUUAGCGGCGGACGGGUGAGUAACACGUGGAUAACCUACCUAUAAGACUGGGAUAACUUCGGGAAACCGGAGCUAAUACCGGAUAAUAUUUUGAACCGCAUGGUUCAAAAGUGAAAGACGGUCUUGCUGUCACUUAUAGAUGGAUCCGCGCUGCAUUAGCUAGUUGGUAAGGUAACGGCUUACCAAGGCUACGAUGCAUAGCCGACCUGAGAGGGUGAUCGGCCACACUGGAACUGAGACACGGUCCAGACUCCUACGGGAGGCGGCAGUAGGGAAUCUUGCGCAAUGGGCGAAAGCCUGACGGAGCAACGCCGCGUGAGUGAUGAAGGUCUUCGGAUCGUAAAACUCUGUUAUUAGGGAAGAACAUAUGUGUAAGUAACUGUGCACAUCUUGACGGUACCUAAUCAGAAAGCCACGGCUAACUACGUG